CUACAGCAGAUGUGAAGGAGGAAACUGUGAUGAAUCAAACACUGAGGACAUAAAAGACAAGAUGCAGUGGGACAGGAGAGAGAAUGAAAAGUGUGUGAGGGAUAUAGUUGUGAGUCGGGGCUGAACGGGGCCGAGACUCCUCCUUCUAAUCUGAGUCUAAACACAGAGUCACAGCUUCUUUCCUCUUUCUACUCACAGAGACUCGACACUGCAGAUAUGAAGCCUCUGUUCAUCUCACUGCUGCUGGCUGCUCUGUGUCCUGAAGGCAGAGCACAACAAGACAUGGUGCAGCAACCAGGAGAAGAAGUGACUGCGACUGGAGGAGAAGCAGCAACACUUGGUUGUCGAUACGUCAGCAGCUCAACAAGUGUGUCUCUCCUCUGGUACAAACAGGAAGGAACCAACAACCCAACAUUCAUCCUGAUCCGCUUUCAACUGGGAGAAGGAAACACAGCAGAUGACUUCAGAGAGAGAUUUUCAUCCACACUGAAUUCCACCUCGAGAUCUUCUCCUCUGAAGAUCCAGAAGCUGCAGCCGUCUGACUCUGCUGUGUACUACUGUGCUCUGAGGCCCACAGUGACAGGAAACUACACAACUCUGUACAAAAACCUGUGGAGCAACCACACAACUCCUCAUCCUCCACUAGAGGGAGUCACUCACUGUUAAACCUCAGUGG